rnacentral:rRNA from 1 species
CUGCAUGAAGCUGGAAUCGCUAGUAAUCGCGGAUCAGAAUGCCGCGGUGAAUACGUUCCCGGGUCUUGUACACACCGCCCGUCACACCAUGGGAGUAGGUAAUGCCCGAAGUCGGUGACCUAACCGGAAGGAAGGAGCCGCCGAAGGCAGGACUUAUAACUGGGGUGAAGUCGUAACAAGGUAAC